rnacentral:rRNA from 1 species
AUUGAACGCUGGCGGCGUGCUUUACACAUGCAAGUCGGACGAGUGGCGGACGGGUGAGUAAUGCAUCGGAACGUGCCCAGUAAAGGGGGAUAACUGUCCGAAAGGAUAGCUAAUACCGCAUACUAUUCGAGCGGCCGAUGUGGGAUUAGCUGGUUGGCGGGGUAAAGGCUCACCAAGGCGACGAUCAGUAGCGGGUCUGAGAGGAUGCACCGCCACACUGGGACUGAGACACGGCCCAUACUCCUACGGGAGGCAGCAGUGGUGAAUUUUGCACAAUGGGCGCAAGCCUGAUCCAGCCAUGCCGCGUGUAUGAAGAAGGCCUUCGGGUUGUAAAGGACUUUUGGCGGGGAGGCGGUACCUGAAGAAUAAGCACCGGCUAACUACGUGCCAGCAGCCGCGGUAAUAC